rnacentral:rRNA from 1 species
CAGCAGAGUUUGAUCCUGGCUCAGGACGAACGCUGGCGGCGUGCUUAACACAUGCAAGUCGAGCGACGCCCACUCUUCGGGGUGGUGACGGAGCGGCGAACGGGUGAGUAACACGUGGGCAACCCACCCUUGGUACCGGGAUAGCCCGGGGAAACCCGGAUUAAUACCGGAUGGCCCAACAGCUCUUCGGGGCGGUUGGAAAAGAUAGCUUCGGCCUUCGACCAAGGACGGGCCCGCGGCGGAUUAGCUUGUUGGUGAGGUAACGGCCCACCAAGGCGACGAUCCGUAGCUGGCUUGAGAGAGCGACCAGCCACACUGGAACUGAGACACGGUCCAGACUCCUACGGGAGGCAGCAGUGGGGAAUCUUCGGCAAUGGGCGCAAGCCUGACCGAGCGACGCCGCGUGGAGGACGAAGGCCUUCGGGUUGUAAACUCCUGUCGAGGGGGAAGAAGGGGUGUCAAAACCCUUGACUGAUCCCUGGAGGAAGCACGGGCUAAGUUCGUGCCAGCAGCCGCGGUA